ensembl:lncRNA
AAAUGUCAUACACUUUAAUAAGUACAGGUAGUAUUUACAGUAUUUACAAUAACCAUAUCACAAUACCACCAUAGUAUCCACUACUGUAUAUGUUUCAUUGAUAAACAAGUAUUUACACUGUGGAAUAAGACCAUGUAUACAUACAAAUAAAAAAGAAAACACCACAGAUUUGAUAUGAAAUGUAUUUCAAGGUCGCCUUGAAACAGCACAAGCGUCACUAUGAUUGCGGUAGAGGUACGCUGAAUAAAAUAAAAAUAAAGAUGAACCACUGAACCACACAGGUGCAUCAUGGUCCGAUAUUUGAAGAAUACACUUGAAUACACAAACUAUACAGUUCAUAGAUGUCCCAGUCCAUUCAAACACGGCAACCAGAAAUCAGGACUCAAACGGGGUUGUCCGCAACCGUUGGGUUUCUUCAUCAUCGUCGUCAUCUUCUACAUCAUCGUCAUCGUCACAUCAUAACUUUACACAUUCACGUUUGGUCGUCAGCCUUCAGUAGACAUGGUCACUAAACCUAAAAGUGUUUCAUCCGGCGUGUUCCUCAAACGACACGCGGAAUACAAACGUCACGUCCGGAUAUUUAACAAAAAACAGAAACAAGCGGAACUCUUCCCCCCUCCGCAAAGCGUUCGAACAUCCGCCCCCGUCUGGUAGCUUAAACCUGUUUUAUUCAUUCCCGUAUUAUUACACUACUCCCUUAACGACUUGAGGAGCUUCUGGAGCCCUUCGGGGUUGAUGGCUCCUCCCCCUUCGACGGCCCCGCCCCCUUCAUCGACGUUGAAGUCUCGUUUCUUUUCAACUUUUUUAAUUAUUUUUUUAAAAGGAAGAUACAAACACGACUAUGCUCCACCGUUGCCAAGGAGACCGACCUCCUUGUGAUUGCUGGUGGCUUUUUGUACAACAUAGCAUGUGUUGGGUCUGUGCGUGAGUGUGUGUGUGCGUAUGUACGUACAUACAUGUCCCGCCCCCACCCCUAAACCCCGCCCCUAAACCCUAAACCCCUCCCCCCUAGCCUAACAGGCCGCCCCGGCCCCGCUGCUCUCCCGCCUCCCCUGCUUCUUCAGCAGCUGGAUGCGGUUGUGGACGUAGAACUUGAUGGAGCGCCAGUCUCUGUGGUUGCUGACCAGUAGGGGGCAGAGCUCCAAGCAGCGCUCGCAGUCCGCCUUGGCGGGAACGCGCAGCUCCACGAUGUUCCUCUUCAGCGCCUCACCGUCCAGCUCCAGGCAGAUGUGCUGCAGGCUCAUCCCCCGGAACAGCACGCCCUCCCGCUCGCCGUACAGCACCACCCUGCCCACCCGGCCCAUCAGCGCCGGGUCCCGCACGAUGGUGGCGCAGUUCUGCGUCACGUGGUACUCCCGCUCCAGGAACUCCUCCAGCCGCUGGGUGGCCCUGCCGGCCGGAGCUGGAGCCCCUCCCGCGGCGGCGGCGGCGGCGGCGGCGGCGGACCGACUCGCCCCCUUCCUCCAGCAGCAGCAGCUGGCUGAGGAUGGCCACCUGCCGCCGCACCCGGGUGCCCGUGAGCGCGCCGGGGUUCUUGGCGCCGCUGGCGCGCGCCAGGUUCCGCAGGAGGUCGGUGCCGCGCAGCGGCGUGGCCGGCGAGUGGUACGGCCGGGAGAACACGUAGGGGCUGCCCGGGUCCACGCCCACGUUGGGGCUGGUCUGCAGCAGCAGCUCCAGGCACGCCUCGCUGUGCGGCGGCAGGAUGAGCGGCUGCACGCGGCCCCGCUUGCCCACCACCCCGCCCGCGGCAGGUGGCAGAGGACGUGGCGCUCGAAGGGCGAGAGGAGGGCCUCCGUGCCGGUGGGCGGGGCCGGCGGCGGAGGGGCGGGGCCGCCGGCGGCCGGGGCCGGCGGGGCGGGCGGCGGCGGCGGCGGCAGGGUGCGGUUGCGGUAGUCCUGCAGCGAGAGUUUGGCCACCUCGCACUCGCGGUGGCGGUUGUAGAGGAUGAGCAGCGAGAGGCUGGAGUGGCACAGCAGGCGCCACGCCUCGGCCGAGUGCGGCGAGCGCGUGAGCGACAGGAAGGAGGCGUGCUGCUGCCGGCGCAGGUACAGCACCAGGCAGGACAGCGAGGACAGCAGCGGCGAGAUGUGCUGUCGGUGGGCGCUGGGGAGAGACGGGGGGGAGAACACGGCGGUUAGUAGGGGAGGGGAUCUCUUGGCACCUCACGAUUGGAUUAUGAGGUCAACGAUUGGAUUAUGAGGUCAACGAUUGGAUUAUGAGGUCAACGAUUGGAUUAUAAAGUCAACGAUUGGAUUAUGAGGUCAACGAUUGGAUUAUAAAGUCAACGAUUGGAUUAUGAGGUCAACGAUUGGAUUAUAAGGUCAACGAUUGGAUUAUGAGGUCAACGAUUGGAUUAUGAGGUCAACGUUUGGAUUAUGAGGUCAACGAUUGGAUUAUGAGGUCAACGAUUGGAUUAUGAGGUCAAUGAUUCGAUUAUGAGGUCAACGAUUCGAUUCUAAAACGAUUAUCGAUGCAAAAAAAUUCGUAAUUUUCAUAAAUAUAUCUAUACAUCUGAGUUUGCUAAACACUUCCUACUUUUGUGAUGAUCAUUGAAGACAUCAACAGAUGAAUUAACUUAUCUAAUAUUUUAUUAGAGAGAAAGCUUUUGUCACAAAUAUGACUUUCUAUGAACAAUGCAAUAAUCAAUGCAGCUUGCAUUGCAACACACUAUGGAAGCAUGUAAAAAAUAGGUUUCAGUUUUCUUUUCUUUCUAAACUUUCUUUUCUAUGUCAUUAAAGAAAAAGCUGCUCUUGAAUUAGAAGGAGUUCUUGUGUCUGGCCGUGAGUUUAAGUGCAUGGUAUGCGUAGGCUGAAUCGCAAUGGUGUCAAGACAAAUCAGAUUGGCCAAUACAGACUGAAGAAGAAAAAUUAAAUCACCUUAAAAUUACUAAAAUUAUCCCUCUCUGGCGAACAGAAUGUUGCAGCAGGCGAACAAAUGUAAAAACAUUUAUUUAUUUUAAUUCAGAUUAUUCAUUUAUCUGCAUCGAGACGGAAUCGUUCUAGAGAGAAUCGCGAUGCAUCGAAGAAUCAGUUAUUUCUCCCACCCCCAGCGGUUAUAGUACUUGUGAUAUGACGGCGUCUACCACGGCUUCUCACCAACCACAAAUCAAGAAGGAUGUUUGGGGACCAUGGCGACGGCAUCAGAAGUUAAAACACAUUCUGCACGCUCACAGGAAAUAGUGAUUCAUUUUAUUAUUUUUAUCUUCUCUAAUAUUGCAGCAAAGUGAGGUCAUCAGAGGGGGAAUCAAUAUCAGAUGGAGAAGGGGGUCUGCUCUGCUUGAAUAUCAUUUCAUUCUGUCGUUUUGAGAGAUGGCCAGCGCACAGCCAUAACUCACUCACACUGACGUCGUUGUGUCGAGGUGUCCCUAUCGUCUGAGCAGAGUCUCCAAGCUAGUGGCAACAUCAAGUCGGCGCUACAAAUUAAGGUUUCUUGCCACCAACGUUACGCUCGCUUUUUCCCGCCCACAAUAUGCUUGGUUGCUAGGCGACAGACGCCACCACUGCACAGCAGGCCACUGUCGCUGAACACCGGACACACACACACACACACACACACACACACACACACACACACACACACACACACACACACACACACACACACACACACACACACACACACACACACACCUGAGCAGCUCUCCGUUGGUCUCCUCCGGCGCGUCCUCCUCCUCCUCCUCGCCCUCGGCGCUCAGCUCUAGCUCCUCCUCCUGGUCCAGGUGGGGCUCCGGCGUGGGCGGGGGCGCCAGCUCCUCCUUCUCCACCUUCUGCUGCUCCUCCUGCUUCUCCCUCUUCAUCCUCUGGCCCCUCCGGGGGGCGGGCGGCGAGGAGGCCGGCGCCGGAGGGGGCGGGGCCACCUGCGGCGGCGGGGCGGCCGGGGGCGGCGGUGGCGAGGGGCUCUUGACCCGGGACGCCGCCUGACAGGCGCCGGCGCCGCGCUUGGCGGCCGGCGCCGUCGGCCCGCCGCCCUUCCUGCUGCCGGCGGCGGCGGCGGCGGCGGGCGGGGCCAGGGACGGCGGCGACAGGGAGAGCGAGAAGGAGACGGCGGGGCCGGCCGAGCGCGUGGCGGGCGACUCCCGCUCCCGGGAGGAGGAGGAGGAGGAGGAGGAGGAGAAGAGCGGCGGCGGGGUGGGGUUGGAGGAGGACGAGGGCUGCGGGACGGCGAAGGAGUGGCCGUGCGGCGCGGCGGCGGCGGCGCAGGGGGCCGACGCGGAGGAGGUGGAGGAGGAGGCGGCGCGCGCGUGCGAGCCGCCGCCGCCGUUAGCGUGCAGGUGCGCUAGCUCCAUGGCGGCGCGCACCUCGGGCUGCCCCGCGUGGUGCUUCUCCAGGUGGCGUGCCAGCGAGCGGUAGUGGCGCCCGCAGUACGGGCAGUGCUGCCGCCGGCUCCCUGCCGCCGCCGCCGCCACGCCCGACGCCCCCCCGAUGUUGAUGUUGAUGUUGUUGUUGAUGUUGGUGGUGGGCGGGGCCAGCGCGCUCACCGGCGGCGGCGGCUGCGACUGGGAGCGGGGGGGCGGGGCCGCCGAGGGCCGCGGGAACGAGGAGCAGGGGCGGCCGGGCCCGCGGGACGAGGUGGCCGCCGCCGCCGCCGCCGGUGUGGGGGGCGGCGGGGCGGAGCUCUUCUUCUUGGGGUUGACGGCGGCGGCGGCCAUCUUGCGCUUCUUGCGGCGCCGGAGCAUGCGGCCGCGCAUCUCCUCCAGGUCCUCUUCCUCGUCAUCGUCGUCGUCGUCGUCUUCCUCCUCCUCCUCCUCUUCCUCCUCCUCCUCGCGGUCCGAGUCGCUGGGCUCAGAGUGCGUGAGGGGGGAGGAGGAGGGGGAGAGCGACCAGGAGGGGGUGAGGUAAUCCGAGACCGAGAGGGAGAGAGGGUGUGGCCCUGCCUCUUCCUCCUGGGGGGGGGGGGGGUCCAGAACAGAAAGGGCGCCCGGUGAGACGCGGCAAACAUCAAACACACACACACAGCCUCCGCGUGUUUAAUAAUGAUAUAAUAAUAAAUUAAAUUCAUGUAGCGCUUUCCUCGUACUCAAAGCGCUUGAGCUAAUGAGGCGUUUAGGUUCAAGGCCCCCCCGUUUGGACCCGUCAACAUUAGAUCGGUUCCAUCUGUUCUUGAUCUAAAACGCUCUUUCAUCGUACUACCACUACGAUAUCAUCACCUCCCCGCGUAUUAACCUCUACCCUAGAAAUCGAGUGCAAGAUUAAUGUUCACCUUCAUCAUGCAAGUGUGCGUGCGUGCGUUUGUGUGUGUUUUUUUUUUGUUAUUAAGAGUAUGUUGUAUGAAUAUGUUCUAUAUAUGCUAUUGUACUUUUCUGAGG